rnacentral:rRNA from 1 species
UACGUAGGGUGCAAGCGUUAAUCGGAAUUACUGGGCGUAAAGCGUGCGCAGGCGGUGAUGUAAGACAGAUGUGAAAUCCCCGGGCUCAACCUGGGAACUGCAUUUGUGACUGCAUCGCUGGAGUACGGCAGAGGGGGAUGGAAUUCCGCGUGUAGCAGUGAAAUGCGUAGAUAUGCGGAGGAACACCGAUGGCGGAAGGCAAUCCCCUGGGCCUGUACUGACGCUCAUGCACGAAAGCGUGGGGAGCAAACAGG